rnacentral:rRNA from 1 species
GUGGGGAAUCUUGCGCAAUGGGCGAAAGCCUGACGCAGCCAUGCCGCGUGAAUGAUGAAGGUCUUAGGAUUGUAAAAUUCUUUCACCGGGGACGAUAAUGACGGUAUCCGGAGAAGAAGCUCCGGCUAACUUCGUGCCAGCGGCCGCGGUAAUACGAAGGGGGCUAGCGUUGCUCGGAAUUACUGGGCGUAAAGGGCGCGUAGGCGGACAGCUUAGUCAGAGGUGAAAGCCCAGGGCUCAACCUUGGAAUUGCCUUUGAUACUGGCUGUCUUGAGUGUGGGAGAGGUGAGUGGAACUCCGAGUGUAGAGGUGAAAUUCGUAGAUAUUCGGAAGAACACCAGUGGCGAAGGCGACUCACUGGCCCAAUACUGACGCUGAGGCGCGAAAGCGUGGGGAGCAAACAGGAUUAGAUACCCGGGUAGUCC